rnacentral:rRNA from 1 species
AUUGAACGCUGGCGGCAGGCCUAACACAUGCAAGUCGAGCGGAUGAAGGGAGCUUGCUCCUGGAUUCAGCGGCGGACGGGUGGGUAAUGCCUAGGAAUCUGCCUGGUAGUGGGGGAUAACGUCCGGAAACGGGCGCUAAUACCGCAUACGUCCUGAGGGAGAAAGUGGGGGAUCUUCGGACCUCACGCUAUCAGAUGAGCCUAGGUCGGAUUAGCUAGUUGGUGGGGUAAAGGCCUACCAAGGCGAUGAUCCGUAACUGGUCUGAGAGGAUGAUCAGUCACACUGGAACUGAGACACGGUCCAGACUCCUACGGGAGGCAGCAGUGGGGAAUAUUGGACAAUGGGCGAAAGCCUGAUCCAGCCAUGCCGCGUGUGUGAAGAAGGUCUUCGGAUUGUAAAGCACUUUAAGUUGGGAGGAAGGGCAGUAAGUUAAUACCUUGCUGUUUCGACGUUACCAACAGAAUAAGCACCGGCUAACUUCG